rnacentral:rRNA from 1 species
CUACGGGUCGCUGCAGUGGGGAAUAUUGGACAAUGGGGGAAACCCUGAUCCAGCAAUGCCGCGUGUGUGAAGAAGGCCUGCGGGUUGUAAAGCACUUUCGGUUGGGAGGACUGCUUCUAGCACUAAUAUUGUUGGAAGUUGACGUUACCUUCAGAAGAAGCACCGGCUAACUCCGUGCCAGCAGCCGCGGUAAUACGGAGGGUGCACGCGUUAAUCGGAAUUACUGGGCGUAAGGCGCGCGUAGGCGGCUAGAUCAGUCGGGUGUGAAAGCCCCGGGCUUAACCUGGGAACUGCAUCCGAUACUGUCUAGCUUGAGUACAGGAGAGGAGAGUGGAAUUCCACAUGUAGCGGUGAAAUGCGUAGAUAUGUGGAGGAACACCAAUGGCGAAGGCAGCUCUCUGGCCUGAUACUGACGCUGAGGUGCGAAAGCGUGGGGAGCAAACAGGAUUAGAUACCCCAGUAGUC